rnacentral:rRNA from 1 species
UUAAAAAGCUUCAAACUGGGAUUAGAUACCCCACUAUGCCCAGCCAUAAACAUUGAUAGCCCAGUACACGCUAUCCGCCCGGGGACUACGAGCAUUAGCUUAAAACCCAAAGGACUUGGCGGUGCUUAAGAUCCACCUAGAGGAGCCUGUUCUAUAACCGAUGCCCCCCGUUUAACCUCACCCUCCCUUGCUUAACCCGCCUAUAUACCGCCGUCGUCAGCUUACCCUGUGAAGGUCCAAUAGUGAGCAAAAUUGGCACAGCCCAGAACGUCAGGUCGAGGUGUAGCGUAUGAGAGGGGAAGAAAUGGGCUACAUUCACUGCCCCAGUGAAUACGAAUAGUACAUUGAAAUAUGUACUUGAAGGAGGAUUUAGCAGUAAGCAGAAAGCAGAGCGUUCCGCUGAAACCGGCUCUAAAGCGCGCACACACCGCCCGUCACCCUCUGCAGUCAA